CCCCCCCCCGGGCCUGUCUGGGAGUCUGCCCUACGCGCGCCGAGCGCUCGCCAUCCGCCCGGGGCUGGCCUUCAAGGCCCUUGGCCGCCCAAUCGACUUCCCUCCAGGGUUCCAGUGCGAAGAAGUGGGAAUGUCACUGGAAACUGUUAGGCCUUUCCUCUGCCCUGCUACAGACGACCGCAGGCGGGGAGGGAGGAAGCAUUGGCCGGGCUCCUGGCUGCCAGCGGCGCCCCGCCUCUCCUGGCCCGGAGAAUGCGUUGCGGGGCAGAAACCUCUACCCCCGCCACACAAUGGCACCUAUCUAGCUACCUGCCUGCCCCAUGCCGGCCUCCGUUGCUCCAAUGGCCAACCCUUGGCCACCAUGUUUGACCUCAGAUUUGGAGGCUUCCAGGGGUAUGGGCACAAUGACUGUAUAUAGUAAGCACUCAAUAAAUGUUAGCUGUUAUUAUCACGAGGCACAUCAGAUCUCCUCCGUGGGCAUCUCAGUCUCUGGCACACAUUUAUCCCAGACCAAUCACCGCAUAGCUGGGGUCCCCAAGAUCCCUACCCCUGCCCCCUCUGAGCCCUGGAGCCACAGCCCUCCACCCUAACACGCCUGCAGAAAACGUGAGGCCUCUGUGGUUCUUCCCCCCCAGGGUGUUUGUCCGGGCCUGGGCCACUGAAGCCUGGAGCAAACGUUGCACUCUGCCUCGGUCAGCGCGGGGGCUAGGGAAUUUCGGUUAGAUAAGAGCAUCCUGGGACAGGGGGUGGUGGUUCAUAGUUUCAAAACAAUAAAAAAAAAAGUGGGGGGAACCCUUCGGUGAGGAAGAGAGACGAGAGAAACAGAAAGUGCGUGGGGGUGGGGAUCAGGGACAGGCGGAGGCAGGCGUGCCAAUCGUAGAUGAGUCAGAAGCAGCGGCAUGACACCUUUUUCUUCCAGAAACAAUUAUUUGAGUAGGCUUUUAAUCGCCAGGCCGAAGGGAAUGAGCUGUCCGAGACAGCGCCACCAAAUACAUGGACCACGCCGGGAAGCCGGGUUUUAGUGUUUGACCUCCAACAAAUAGAAGCCCGUCUUCCUGAUUCCUCUGAUUAUCAGCAGUACUAAAAAUACUGUUUUUGUUAUUUUGCAAACGACGUUUCAGAGGGCCCUUGGAGCCGGGCAGGAGCCACGCCCAGGACCGCGAUCACCUGCUGCGCAAGCGGCCGGGACUUGGUCCCCCUCCUCUCCUCUGCCCUCCCCCACGCCCCAGGCUGGUGGCUAUUCUCGGAUGUGGACCCCUUUAAAAAUGACAAAUGUCUUAUCAAUACAGACCAUCCAUCCUCUCUUGCUUUCUCAUCAUUUUUCGGCGUGAGGAGGGACCCAGGCGCAGGCCCGGCGACGCGUGUCACGCGGCCUGCAUUGUACCGUAAUCGCCAAAACCUUGGCCUAAUUUGCAGCUAAUAUAUCUCGAGCGAAGGAGUCGGCGAGAAAUCAGUGGCCCAAGGAGCUAGAUUUAAGCUUUGUUGGGAUCGGAAAUUAAGGGACUGCAAGGGGGAUGCGAUUCAUAUUAUUCUCCCCUCUCCCCCUCCCACACACGACCAUACGUCUCUCCGCUCGGCCUGCAGGGACGCGGCCCUUAUCUCUCCGCGGCCUGUGUCCCUGUCGCUUGCUUGUCUCGCUCCGGACCACUGUGUCUGGGGCGCCCUCCGCCUGGUUUCUCCUCGCCCCCGGGAGGAGGCGCUGGUGUCCGGGUCGGCCUCUGGUCCCUCCCAGCCGGCGUCCCGGAGCCCCCAUUCACAAAGCCCGGCUUGGAGGCGACACCACACACACACACACACACACACACACACACACACACGCACACACACCCCGAAGAGGGGAGUUUGAUCUUGUCUCAUUGGCGUCUCGGGCCUGAAAGGAAAAUCGUUUGGGUAAACAGCCAAGCUUCCAGGCUUAACGCCCGGCUGCCGCCCCCGCCCCUCCGCCCCCUCCCGCCUCCCCCACUCCCCUUCCACCCCACCCGCCACCCACACUCCGCUCCGCAGCCGGGCCCCGAGCGAGCUCCGCGCGCCCGGGCGGGAGCCGAGGGCUCCCCGGGUUCAAAGGGCCGCAGCCCCGAGGGAAUGCCCUCCUCGCUGUGCCCCGAGGGGCAGAAGCGGACCGCAGGGCGGUGGGACCGGCCCGGGCCACGAUGGUGUUCAGUGACAAGACCCAAACUAUUUGCAAAACUCCAGGACAUGCGUCUUUCUGCGGACAAAAACAGACAUUAUCGAAAGCCUGGAAGGAAUCUUUGACUUUCUCCCAUUUGAACAAACAACAGCUUCAAAGUUGUCGACAGUGUACUAAGCAAAGAUACGAGAAUAUCCCCAGAAAGGAAAAUACGCCACGACGAAGUUGUUUCCUGUAUGUGAAUGCUGAGAUUUAAGGAUAUAUCGUGGCUCCCCUUUAACUCACAAAUAAAUUCUUUUUUUUUUUUUGAACAAUUGCUCCCUUUGAGAUUUGCAAAUAGUUCCACUAGUUUACAUAGUUCUUUUUUCCUCCUUCCUUUUAAGUAUACCUCUUAAGUAAGCAGACACUUUAACUUGCCUUCUUAUUAGACAGCUUUUUCUUUAUUGCCUUUUCAUAGCACAGCUAUCAAAAAUAAGAUAAUAUGCACGAUCUGGGACCUAAUCAGCUUUCUAGCUGAGUUUAAAGAGUCUAGAGGCUGUUUAAAGGUAGCUCUGGUUAUGUGUGCGGGCUUUACUGCCUUGUUUGCUCGACCACAUUUUGAUGGAGAGGGUAAUGUGUUUGCUAGAUAAGGCAAAAGGGACCAGCCAAAAAAGCAAGGCUCUGUUUGAUAAACCCUGACAUAUUUAGCCAUUUUUCUCCCACAUGAAAGGAAGCUUUAAAACUCUAAGAAAAAUAGAGGUGUCCGUUCAAGCACGUUAAUGUUGAUCAAGACAAAAAAAAAAAAAAAAGUAAAUAAAGAAAAUGGGCAUCUUUUAGUCUAUUAAAUUAAUUAGCUCCAGAGCUUAUCACGCAGUUGAAAAGCUGGAUAAAAUACAAGUCUGUUUCUCGUUGUUGUCAUUUGAUGUGAAGGGUGAGUUCUUUAAGUCAGUGUACGUGGAAAAGACAGUUGUUCUGUUCAGCUUGACUUGCCCUGGUAGAAGGUUUGAACCCUGUAUGAAGGAGCUCAUUAAGCAAAGUUAAACUCUUAUAAGGCCGAUCAGCAUGGACUUGGGAUGAGAACUCAGUCUGAAAUUAGGGUUGAACACACAUGAUGACAGUCUUUGUUAAGUGGCCUAUAGCCUGAAAACAGAGUUAAAAAGCCAGAAUCAAAAUAUGUCACCGGACAUCUACCGGUAACUAGAGGUCCAUAGAUAGCUUUACAAUCUGGAAUGAUGUAAAAAUGUUGGAGGUGAACUAUUGAUUAUCUUACAAUAAUUUUUCUUUUCUAGAAAAAGUAAAGGAAUAAAAUGUCAGAAAGCUUCACAAAAUAGAGCUGUCUCUCAAAAUGAGACUUGAACUGGUGUAGGUAUAAAAAUAAUUUGGGGCUAAAUUUUUAUCCCAUGGUCACUUUCAGUUAAUGUAGAAGGAAAUAUCAAUCCUAAAUCAAUAUCCUAGUAAAAUUUUCUAUUUUUUUUUUCUCUAGAAAAGACACUUUUCAGGGUGCCUCGGUGGCUCAGUCGGUUAAGCAUCUGACUUCAGCUCGGGUCAUGAUGUCACAGUUCGUGGGUUCGAGCCCCGUGUCGGGCUCUGUGCUGACAGCUCGGAGUCUGGAGGCUGCUUGGGAUUCUGUGUCUCCCUCUCUCUCUGCCCCUCCCCUGCUUGUGCGUGCGCACUCUCUCUCUCUCAAAAUUAAAUAAACAUUUUUAAAAAUUAAAAAAAAAAGAUAUUUUUCUGAUUUCUUGUUUUUCUAAAUCACAAGUAUUUUUAUUAUUUUAUUUUAUUUUAAGAUUUUAUUUUUUUAAGUAAUCCCUACACCUGAGGCAGAGCUCAGACUCACAAUUCAGAGAUCAAGAGUCAUAUGCUACACUGACUGAACCAGCCAGGUGCUCUGAGAGUGGGUUUUUUUUCUUGUUUGUUUUUUAAGAUUUUAUUUUUAGGUAAUCUCUCCACCCAACCUGGUGCUUGAACUCACAACUUGGAGAGAAAGAGUCGCAUGCUCUACUGACUGAAUCAGCCAGGCGCCCCUAUAGAACGUUAUAAAAUAUAAUCACUUGAAUUUUUACAACUGUGUUUCUUCUAUAUAUUAAUCAUUUUAAACAUUUUUUAUGGCUUAGUGUUAAUAAUCUCUAUGAGUGUAGAUUUUUAGAUGAAUUUAAUGUCAACUAGGGAUUAAUGUGAAUUAAUUAAAUUGACUGUAUCUUCUUUAAUGAGAAAAAAAGGAUUUAGUUUUAAUACUGAUGAUCUUAAUAAAGCUUCUCUCUACUUAUCUGUAUUUUCUCAACAUUAGGAAUUAUUUUUAUUAGAAGGUGAAUUAAUUUAAUAACGGCAGAGUGGGAAAACUUGAAAUAAAUCAAGUGAUUGCAAACUGACUUUGCUAUUGUUCUUGAGGCUGUGUAAUCAAACCGAAUAACUUUCAAUUAGGAAAGACCCAAUUUGUUGAAGCCACUUAAAAAUAAAAACAUAAAUUGGAGUUCA